UGUGGGAGCGAGAUUAAGGCUUGCUGGUUUCACGUUCGAGUAAAGUCAGUCUUUUUCUCUCUCCUAUU
rnacentral:pre_miRNA from 14 species